UCACUACACAACAAACUUUAUAUCUCCCUCUGUUCUUCAAUUAACUAAAACAUUUUCUCCUAUUAACAAGGCUCAUUGAAAGGUCUCACUAUGAAAUAAAGGACGAUAUUGAGCUUUUAUAGAAGCAGGAGCAACCCCGGAGAGGGCGGGAAUUCUCUCUCAAAUACAGAAUUCUUAAAGAUGAACGUGGUGCCUUUGGAAGAAGGGGUUGACAUUGGAGGCCUUGAGCAC